rnacentral:rRNA from 1 species
UACGUAGGGGGCAAGCGUUGUCCGGAUUUAUUGGGCGUAAAGAGCGUGUAGGCGCCACACAGGUCUGCUGUGAAAACUCGAGGCUCAACCUCGAGCUGUCGGUGGAAACCGUGUGGCUAGAGUCCGGAAGAGGAGAGUGGAAUUCCUGGUGUAGCGGUGAAAUGCGCAGAUAUCAGGAAGAACACCCGUGGCGAAGGCGGCUCUCUGGGACGUGACUGACGCUGAGACGCGAAAGCGUGGGGAGCGAACAGG